AUGCCAUGGUGAGGGCAUUCUUGAAGUAAAUCCUUGAAUCUCUCCAUAAGUUUAGAACAGGACUCACUAUGCUUUUAUCUAAACUGAAGGAUAUCACUUUUAAGCUU